AGUCCUGUAGCUCAGUGGUUAGAGCACUCGCCUCGAAAGCGGGAAACCUGGGUUCGAUCCCCAGGAGGGCAG